UGUUGGAGAUACUGGUUAAAGUUAUGUUGGUGUGUGUACUGUGAGGUACUAAAUAAUGGAACAUGACUUGAAUAAUUUGUGAAGUAGCCAUAAAACAUAUUUUAAGUUUCAUUUAAAAAGUCUUGUACAGUAACGAGAAAGCUCAAGUGCUGUGUAUGGUGAUGCUUGAAUAUGUAGCCCUUCUUUUUCUGAUGUCUUAUGCUUGUGUUCCAGAUUUCAUCUUCGCGUCAUACUAGUUUUAUGACUUUGGUUAAAUACUAGAGUAACUGUGGUACUUCAUACGAUUAUUGUGAGAAUCAAGUGAAAUAAUGUUCGUAAAGGAAUUAACAUAGAUUUUGACAUCACAGCUUUAUGUUGGCCUAAAACUAGUAGGGUAAUAGCUGUUCUUUUUUCUGUUCUCUGGGUGAAUCUGUGUAAGGCUUCUGUUAUUUCCUCAUUAAUCAUUUGGAAAAUUUUACUGGUGGAAUCAUCUGGCCUUAGGUUUUAUUUGUGGAAAGAUUUUAAUUGCAGAUGUAACUUUUUUUUUAAAUAGAAGAAUUAAAAUUUUUUUUUGUAAGUUGUGCUUUUCAGGUUAUUUGCCCAUUUCAUCAAGAUUGUCACAUUUAUUGCAGUAAAGUUGUUUUUAAUAUCCUUUUACUCUUUAUUACCUUUUAAUGUCUCUCAGGGUAUGAUGUCUAUGAUUGAUAAUAUUAAUAAUAGUAUUUCUUAGGUUGUUACUGUGAUUCAUUAAACAGUUUCUUUUUCCUGUUUGUAUGAAACUGAAUGAUAAUGCAGAAAAACAUUCAAACUUGUGAUUUGCAGCUAAAUGCCUAGAGGUAAAUUUAUAGCUGAGGUGCAUGUACAUGAGUCACAAACAUGCUUCCUACAGCUGGUGCAAGUUUGUGUAGGAUUUUGUGUAGAUAAGUUCUUAGGCAAAAGUGUUAUGAUUGUAGAGUAUUUGUCAUUUUGGACUAAGUUCUUAUUGCCCAACUAUUGCCAAUUAAAUAUUGUAUCAUAAGUAUAGAAAAGAGCUACGUUAUGUUUUUUCCUCUCCCUCUGCAAUUUUAGAGAAGUAUGAUAGUCAAAUGUUUGUGUUGGAUACCAAAGAUUUCUAUUUUCAAACCAGGAACUAGCAGAGUUCUAGUAUUUUUCCCUUUCUCCUUUGCUUUUUUUUUUUUUUUUACUUUUAUUGAGCUUCAAGUGAACGUUUACAAAUCAAGUCAGACUGUCACGUAUGAGUUUAUAUACACCUUACUCCGUAUUCCCACUUGCUCUCCCCCUAAUGAGUCAGCCCUUCCAGUUUCUCCUUUCGGGACAAUUUUGCCAGCUUGCAACCCUCUCUAUUCUCCCAUCCCCCCUCCAGACAGGAGAUGCCAACACAGUCUCAACUGUCCACCUGAUACAAAUAGUUCACUCUUCAUCAGCAUCUCUCUCCUACCCACCGUCCAGUUCCUUCCAUGUCUGAUGAGUUGUCUUCGGGAAUGGUUCCUGUCCUGUGCUUACAGAAGGUUUGGGGACCAUGACCACCAGGAUUCCUCUAGUCUCAGUCAGAUCAUUAAGUCUGGUCUUUUUGUGAGAAUUUGGGGUCUGCAUCCCACUGAUCUCCUGCUCCCUCAGGGGUUCUCUGUUGUGCUCCCUGUCAUCAGUUGUGGCUGGGCACCAACUAGUUCUUCUGGUCUCAGGAUGAUGUAAGUCACUGGUUCAUGUGGCCCUUUCUGUCUCUUGGGCUCAUAGUUAUCGUGUGACCUUGGUGUUCUUCUUUCUCCUUUGAUCCAGGUGGGUUGAGACCAAUUGAUGCAUCUUAGAUGGGCGCUUGUUAGCAUUUAAGACCCCAGACACCACAUUUCAAAGUGGGAUGCAGAAUGUUUUCAUAAUAGAAUUAUUUUGCCAAUUGACUUAGAAGUCCCCUUAAACCAUAGUCCCCAAACCCCCGCCCUUGCUCUGCUGACCUUUGAAGCAUUCAUUUUAUCCCGGAAACUUCUUUGCUUUUGGUCCAGUCCAGUUGAGCUGACCUUCCAUGCAUUGAGUAUUGUCGUUCCCUUCACCUAAAGUAGUUCUCAUCUACUAACUAAUCGGUAAAAAACCCUCUCCCUCCCUCCCUCCCUCCUCCCUUCAUAACCACUAAAGUAUGUGUUCUUCUCAGUUUAUACUAUUUCUUGAGAUCUUAUAAUAGUGGUCUUAUGCAAUAUUUGUCCUUUUGCCUCUGACUAAUUUCACUCAGCAUAAUGCCUUCCAGGUUCCUCCACGUUAUGAAAUGUUUCACAGAUUCGUCACUGUUCUUUAUCGAUGCGUAGUAUUUCAUUGUGUGAAUAUACCACAAUUUAUUUACCCAUUCAUCCAUUGAUGGACACCUUGGUUGCUUCCAGCUUUUUGCUAUUGUAAACAGAGCUGCAAUAAACAUGGGUGUGCAUAUAUCUGUUUGUGUGAAGGCUCUUAUUUCUCUAGGGUACAUUCCGAGUAGUGGGAUUUCUGGGUAGUAUGGUCCUUUGCAUUUUAUAUUCGUAUUGUGCAUGGAAUCCUAACCUCUUCUGUAGUAUUCGUGGCUUGCAUGGCUUUAGAUGAAAGUUAACCCUGAGCGUAUGGCCCCUGGAUACCCAUUCAGCUCAGUAAUGAGGCCACUCCUGAGGUUCACCCUUCAGCUGAAGAUAGAACAGGCCCAUGGAAAAAACAAGACUAAGGGGGCACACCAGCCCUGGGAAAGGGACUGGAAGGUAGGAGGGAACAGGAAAGCUGGUUAUGGGGAACCCAGGAUCAAGAAGGGAGAGCGUUGACAUGUUGUGGGGUUGUUAACCAGUGUCAUAGAACAAUGUGUGUACUGUUCGAUGAGAAACUAGUUUGUUCUGUAAACCUUCAUCUAAAGUUCAAUUAAAAAACAAAACAACAAAACUCAUGAAAACGUUUACACACAGAAAGGAAAAAAACGAGUUAAGUCCCUACUUUGAGCUUUUAUUUUAAGAUGAGUUUGAUAAUAAUUUUUGGAGCUCUUAGGUUUCUGAUACUCAAUUUGAUAUUAUACAUGAUGCUCUUUUUCUAGUAGCUUUAAUUUUUUAAGAUAACUGGUAAUUUAAAGCAUUAAAGGAACAAAACAAAUUGUAUUCACUCUUUCAUCACCCUAUUCUCUACAUGUUUAAUGUUAAGAUUUUAGUUAUUUCAUAAGAUCUGAUAUUGUCGAAACAAGAAGAAGCAACCACAGCAUUAAUCACUGCUCAAUUUAAGGCUCACUUUUUGGGUAUGCUUUUGACAUACUGUCAUAAAAGGAAUUUUUCUAAGAACAGAUUUUGUUUUUUUCAUUUAACAUAUAAUAUUUUUAAAAAGAUUGGUCCCACAGGAGAGAAUUUUAGGCUCUAGUAAGUACUCGUCUGUCAAUUUUUUGUACUGUGGGGCUUGCAUGUUGCUGUAAUGCUGGAAGUUAUGCCAUCGGUACUUCGAAUACCAGCAGAGUCACCCAUGGUGGACAGGUUUUAGCAGAGCUUCCAGACUAACAGACUGGGAAGAAGGACCUGGUGGUUCACUUCAGAAAAAACUAACCAGUGAAAACUUUAUGGAUAGCAGCAGAACAUCAUCUGAUACAGUGCUGGAAGAUAAGUCCUGCAGGUUGGAAAGCACUCAAGAUACGACUCGGGAAGAGCUGCCUCAAAGUAGAAUCGAACUUAAUGACGUGGAUGGAGUAAACCUUUCGGAACCUUCAUUUGCUGAUGUGGCACGAUUCAAAAUGAGAAGAAACAGCUGCAGACAUACAUUAAUAAUCGAAACAUGGAAUGUACGAAGUAUGAAUCCAGGAAAAAUGGAGGUCAUAACAAAUUAUGGACAAUACUAUGAAGAAUGGGACUUCCAGAACACUUAAGCGUGCUCAUGUGAAACUUGUAUGUAGACCAAGAGGCAGUCAUUUGAACAGAACAAGGGGAUACUGUAUGGUUUAAAAUCAGGAAAGGUUGUACCCUUUCACCAUACUUACUCAAUCUCUAUGCUGAGCAAAUCCCAGAAGCUCUACUUUAUGAAGAACAGGGCAUCAAGCUUGGAGGAAGACUCCUUAACAACCUGUGGUAUGCAGAUGACACAACCUUGCUUGCUGAAAGUGAAGGGGACUUGGAGCACUUACUGAUGAAGAUCAAAGACUACAGCCCUCAGAGUGGAUUGCACCUUAAGAUAAAGAAACCAAACAUCCUCACAGCUGGACCAAUAAGCAACAUCAUGGUAAAAGGAGAAAAGAUGGAAGUUGGCAAAGGUUUCAUUUUACUUCGAUCCACAAUCAACGCCCAUGGAAGCAACAGUGAGGUAAUCAAAUGACAGAUUGUAUUAGCAAAUCUGCUGCAAAAACCUCUUUAAAGUGUUGAAAAGUAAAGAUGCUCCUUUGAGGGCUAAGGUGUGCCUGACUCAGGCCAUGGUGUUUUCAGUUGUCUCAUAUGCAUGUGAAAGGUAGAAAGUGAAUAAGGAAGACUGAAGAAUUGAUGCCUUUGAGUUUUGGUGUUGGUGAAGAAUAUUGAAUAUCCUAUGAACUACCAGAAAAAUGAACAGAGCUGUCACAAUGCUCCUUAGAAGCAAGGAUGGUGAGACUUCAUCUUAGGUACUUUGGACAUGUUCUCAGGAGGGAUCAGUCCCUGGAGAAGGACUUAAUGCCUGGUAGAGGGUCAGCUAAAAAGAGGAAGACCCCUCAAUGAGAUGUAUUGACACGGUGGCUGCAACGAUGGGCUCAAACAUAGCAGCGAUUUUGAGGAUGGUGGAGGAUCGGGCAGCGUUUUGUUCUGUUGUACGUAAGGUUGCUAUGAGCUGGAACUGACUUGUUGCCACCUAACAACAAGAAAUGAGUACAGUAAAACUUGUGAAAGCUGGGACUGGUGUAAGUCAGAAACCGGUCAGAGAAGGAAAACUCAAGUGUUUUCCCCUAAAAGGAGUGAUAGAUAAGACCCUGUCAAAGGCGUAAAACUUGCGAGACCUGCAAAAACAAGAUAGUUCUUUUGUUCUGGCUCUCACAGUUUUUACUGUAGUACAACUCAGUGAAUAAUUGAAACACUUGGCAAAGGCAUUGUGAGAUGAACACUCCUGGCUGCUGUUGCCGAAGAAUGUAUUAGUGUAAAACUCUACAGUGGAAUUUGGUAGUAUACGUCAUUGGCCUUAGAAGAAAAACUAUACUUUUGUUGUAGUUAUUACAUUUCCAGGAUCCUACCCUAAGGAAAAAAAGUACAGUACAAUGAUUUGCAUAAGAUUUAUUUGUUAGAAGAUUCAUAAUAGCUCUGUUUAUGUAACAAAAUAAGAGGUGUCCUCUACUUUAAUUUCAAACUUUUACAAAAAGAUUUAACAGUAUGGGAAAGCACUCAAACGUUGAGUGGGAAAAGGACACUAUCUUAAACUAUGUAUUCUCAUUUGUAAGUUUUUACGUAUAUAUGAACAGAUGACACUGGUAUUUUCUGUUGGUAUAUUACAGGUGUUAUAAAUGUUAUUUUUGUCUUUAUGUUUUCUAGAUGAAUGUAUAUAAUACAAAAUCCGGAGGAAAAGGUUUUUUAAAGUAGGCUUUUAAAGCUAUAUACUUCAAAUGCAAAUAUUUCUGGUAGGCUUCUAACACUUGUAUUCCAUGCUAUAGACUCUUUUGCCUUGAGACCAGUUCUCUGUAUCUGCACAAUGUUGGUUUCCAUUAUAAGUAAAUGUUCGCCAUUUACUUAAUUUUAAGUGGUGUUAAUCAGCUGAGUUCGUGUAUAGCCUCUGUAACACCUUAAUGGUGGUAAAUGUGGUUGUCUUUAUGUAAGCAUUUAUUUAUGCAACUGUGUUUAUCACACAAGUGUUCAGUAGAUGCUAGAAUGAUGAGGGGGGGCUCCCUUCUCUAAAAGGGCCAUUAAUCUACAGUGGGUAGAAAAUUCAGGAACACAUCAGUUUAAAAAUUAUGUUGGUUGCAUUCUGAAAGAAUAUACUACUUUUUAAAUUAAGAGUAAAAACCAGUUGCCUUCGAGUCAGUUGCGACUCAUGGCAACCCCAUGUGUGCAAGGUAGAGCUGCAUUCCAUAGGAUUUUCAAGGUCUGAAGCACGUUGCCAGGUCUUUUUUCUGAGGUGCCUCUGGGUAGAUUUGAACUGGCAGCGUUUUGGUUAGUAGCUGAGCACUUAACCAUUUGUGCGGCCCCCCCCCCGAACUCAUAUUAAGGAUAAGGGGUUGUAAAAGUUCAUUCACUUAGUUGUGAAAAUAUUGUUAUUAAGGGCGGGGGGGGGCAAGAGAAAAGUAUAGUAAAUACGAGGAAUGAAAGAAACAAAAAUCUAGCCGUAGUCAUAUUGAAAGGGACACGACUUAUUUAGAAACCACAAUCUUGAAGUUUUUAAAUAAUUGUUCAGAUAGUAGUUUGAGAGUAGGAAAUUGUAGAAUAUAGUUAAUUUUUUUCCCUUCAAAUUAUAAAAUGAAAG